AUUGAACGCUGGCGGCAUGCCUUACACAUGCAAGUCGAACGGCAGCACGGGUGCUUGCACCUGGUGGCGAGUGGCGAACGGGUGAGUAAUACAUCGGAACAUGUCCUGUAGUGGGGGAUAGCCCGGCGAAAGCCGGAUUUAUACCGCAUACGAUCUACGGAUGAAAGCGGGGGACCUUCGGGCCUCGCGCUAUAGGGUUGGCCGAUGGCUGAUUAGCUAGUUGGUGGGGUAAAGGCCUACCAAGGCGACGAUCAGUAGCUGGUCUGAGAGGACGACCAGCCACACUGGGACUGAGACACGGCCCAGACUCCUACGGGAGGCAGCAGUGGGGAAUUUUGGACAAUGGGCGAAAGCCUGAUCCAGCAAUGCCGCGUGUGUGAAGAAGGCCUUCGGGUUGUAAAGCACUUUUGUCCGGAAAGAAAUCCUUGGCUCUAAUACAGUCGGGGGAUGACGGUACCGGAAGAAUAAGCACCGGCUAACUACGUG
rnacentral:rRNA from 1 species